GCAAUCCUGGCGGCGAGCGGCGGACGGGUGAGCAAUAUUUGGGAAUCUGCCUAUUAGUGGGGGACAACCCGGGGAAACUCGGGCUAAUACCGCAUACGCACUACGGUGGAAAGCCGGGGACCGCAAGGCCUGGCGCUAAUAGAUGAGCCCAAAUCGGAUUAGCUAGUUGGUGAGGUAAUGGCUCACCAAGGCUACGAUCCGUAGCUGGUCUGAGAGGACGACCAGCCACACCGGAACUGAGACACGGUCCGGACUCCUACGGGAGGCAGCAGUGGGGAAUAUUGGACAAUGGGCGAAAGCCUGAUCCAGCGACGCCGCGUGGGUGAAGAAGGCCUGCGGGUUGUAAAGCCCUUUCGGUGGGGAAGAAAAGCCUCGUUUUAAUACAGCGGGGUCUUGACGUAACCCAUAGAAGAAGCACCGGCUAACUCUGUGCCAGCAGCCGCGGUAAUACAGAGGGUGCGAGCGUUA
rnacentral:rRNA from 1 species